GGAGGGCCGUUGGCUGCUGCUGGUUGUAUGGUUGGUUAGAAUGGCGGCAGACCCGUACUCUUACUCUCUGCUGCGGGCCUUAAAGUUGUGUUAGUCUGUUGCUCCCAGCUGCGAACUCAGGAACCGGGGAACGUUGAACCGGGCGGGAGUUGGAGAAGCCGACUGAGAGUGAGGCGGGAGCGACGCUGAGAAGGGGCGGCGGCGGCUGGACCACGGUCUUAGUGCGGCGGAGCUCAUCCAUCCCGAAGCCGCGGCUCUUGGAGGGGACUCCGGUGCGCCUCAGCUCCUGGGUCUACCGUCCCGCGUCACCUACACGCGGGCCGAAGCAACUGUGCGCCCUGUCCUGCCCUCGCCCAAGUUGCCGGCCUCUUUCGGAGAACGGUGGCGCCCCGCGCUGACUUCCCCAAACUCACCUUUUUGGUGGCGGUGUUAGCGUAACCUUGUAAACCGAAUCUUCACAGAGCAAUAAACAGAUCUCUUUGACAAAUCUUUUUGUUGUGAACGUUGGGCCUUGAUAUAAAUGUCCAAUGACGGAUCAUUAAAAAUAGCGAGCACAGAGCGUCUCCCACUAGUACCCAAAGAGUGUAAAAUCGGACCAGUAGGUCUUGUGAAACACCAGUUGUAUCUGAAAGCAGUAUUUCUGAAAGUAUGGCUCCCAGAUCACCUGAUUGAGAAUCACCUUGAAUUCUGACUCUUGGACCCCACCCAGAGCCAUCCUAUUCCUGAGCCCGUUGAGCAAGCACUGAGGUGGCUCAUGUAAAAGACUAAUAUCCACAGGACAACGGAUUAUUAUUGUUCACCUGAUUAUAAAAUGCUUCCUCUGAAGAAAAUGGAAGAGACCAUGGCUUGGCUGACAAAUUAUCUCCAAGGAAAACUCAGAUCAUGAUCUCUCUCAGAGGUCAUGGGAUCAAGCCCCGCAUCGAGCCCCACUCUCAGCGGCAGAGUCUGCUUGAAGAUUUUCUCCCCCUGCCCCUCCCCCACUCGCUCUCUCUUGCCCUCUGUGUCUCUAACAUAAAUAAAUAUAUCUUAAAAAAAAAGAAGAAGAAGAGGAAGUCCCCCAACCCCCACCCCAUGUGAGGACACAGUGAGAAGGCUGCCAUCUGCAAGCCAGAAAGAGUUCUCACCAGAAACCAAAUUGGCCAGUACCUUGAUCUUAGACUUCCCAGGCUCCAGAACUGUGAGAAAUAAAUAUGUUAUUUAAGCCACCCAGUUAAUGGCAUUUUUGUUACGGCAGCCCAACCUAUGAAGGCCUUUUGAUAGCAUUUAUAUAAGACAUAAAUAUUCCCCAAAUUGUGGCCUGUUCUGAAAGGUCCAUCCACGUACCUCUCCCCCUAAACUUCCUUGCGCUAAUCCUGUAAUUUUGCUCAGGGACUUGGAAUCCAGCCAAAUCCUUAGUUAGCCACUUUCAAAGUACUUCUCUUUCCUUGGAGCACAAUAACCCUGAUUAGAAGGUUAGGAGGAGAGUUCUAGUACGUAUUUGUAAUGUUAUAAAGUGUACUUCCUCAAAGAUACCCAGUCUCCUCUUCAUUCAAAGGGAUUUGGGAAUUGAUUGCUGGGCAGCCCAGGCGUUGUCAGGCCUACACUGCAGGAGGGAGAGGAAGAGGGGAAAAAGAGACGAGAAGGGAUAGGAAGGGGAGGAGAAGUGAGGU